GGGCCUGGUUCCUAGUAGGUGCUCAAUCAGUGUUUACUGAUUGACUAAACACUUUCUUGAAUUUCUCAAACUAAAUUCCAAUGCAAAGUGCU
rnacentral:miRNA from 1 species